UAUAAAGGUGUGUAUCAUUGUGUAUAUUACAAACAAAGUUAAAAAAAAGCACUUGAUGGUUUCCAUGGAUACCCGUUAUCUGUGUAUGGAAGCCGUAAAUAAAUUUUAAAAAAAUAUUGAAACUAGGUUGAAGUGGACAAAGGCAAUGGAAAGGGGAGAAGGAUGGAACCCUGAUGCACAUGAUGUUGUUGACAGUACACAUUUUACUGCUGAGGAUUUUGAUGAAAGUAGAAAUUUGAAGCCAAUGGCCGUUCCAACUAUAUUUGACAUGCAUGAAAAUGUCAAGCCUCAGACAUGUAAUAACAAUGGGAAAAGUUAUACUGCAACCUGUUCUGACCAUGAUGUGGUAGCUCUAAUAGAGCAAUCACAGCAUCUCUUAGAACUGACUCAGGUACUGGUAUGAAGAUCUCGAAAGUAAAAGAAUCGAGAGGCUGGAUAUUAAGAUAGACAACACUUAGAACUGACUCAGGUACUGGUAUGAAGAUCUCGAAAGUAAAAGAAUCAAGAGGCUGGAUAUUAAGAUAGACAACACUUAGAACUGACUCAGGUACUGGUAUGAAAUCUCGAAAGUAAAAGGAUCGAGAGGCUGGAUAUUAAGAUAGACAACACUUAGAACAACACUUUUGUUAUAACCAUUUUAUUAGUUAAAUUAGAAUUAAUUAAUAAACUAGUCCAGUGGGGGUGCUGAAGAAUUGUAAUAAGUUCACACAGUGGCGUCGCUAGGGGGGUGCGGUCCGCACCGGGUAACACCCGUUAGGGUGGUGACACCCAAGUUAAAAAAUGCACCUUGAGAAUAACUGACAAUUAAAAAACUAAACAGCUUUGGAUAAUUAUUAGAAGAUGUUAUUCACAAUUAAUAAAUAGAUCUAUAGAAGCUCUAGCCAAGUUGAAGGGGAUGUUACGAUGUGCCAGUGGAAUGAUGUCCUUGAAUAUUUUAGUGGAUUUUUCUUCUUGGCAUAUACCUAUUUCACAUGAUUUACGAAGGAGACUAUCCAGAGCAAAAGGAAAAAAAACGCAAGUUUGUAAAAGGUUAAAUGGUGUAAUGUUGAAGAAUGCGAAUGUCUUGGACUGCUGGGUUCGUGCUUCCUGAAUGUUAAAAGGUUAAAUGGUGCAAUGUUGAAGAAUGCAAAUGUCUUGGACUGCUGGGUUCGUGCUUCCUAAAUGUUAAAAGGUUAAAUGGUGUAAUGUUGAAGAAUGCGAAUGUCGUGGAAUGCUGGGUUCGUGCUUCCUGAAGUACUCUUAACACGUGACAAACAUAUAUACCACAAAUUGACUUAAGUCCGUUUCAGCAGACAAAUGUAAAGUUUAUUUGACAACAAUAAUAAUAAUACUGCACUCCUUGUUAGUGCUACAAGUCGAGAAAAUCCUAUCCACAUAACAGCGGUAUCAAAAAUAUCCAAUACGUUAAACUCUCCAGAGUAUAUUACAAAUCACGUCGGCAUCUCAGCGGGUAACACUGUACAGAAUAAUACUGAUUAACUACUAGAAAUACAUGUCUCAAAAAGACCACUGGCAUCAACUGCCCAAAAUAUACUACUUAUUUCCGAGUUACAACUCGACUAACAAAGUCGCUACUACUACGAUAAUACCUAACUGCCUCGUACAGAGGAUAACACUUGACUGAACUCAAAGUCAACUUUAUUCAUUCUACUGCCUGUUUUCUACAUUAGGAAUUCCACGUGACUUUUAACCUCUUAACAUGACGUGAACAUUAAAUCAGGCAUUGUCUACUGAGACUGUGACAGAGAAUGGUUCUGAUUGGGACGAUUUAGUAUCUUAAUAGCAAAAAAACAACAACUGAAAUAAAGUCCGAAAUUGGAAUAUUAAAUGACGUAUGAAGAUUUUAUCUAGAUUGGAAAAUUGGAAAACAAAGACAUACGGCUACAAAUACAAUUGACAAGGAAGUCGUUGAUAUGAUUGAUGUAAAGAAGAAAAACAAUGAAAGGAGAUAUUACACGGACUGUUUCUAUAAAAGCAGAAAAUUUGACACUUUGUGACCAUUAACGAGUCUUUAUUGAUUUUCCAUGAGAUGACGGAAAUGUUAUGUAGAUAAAACCCAUUGCUGAAAGUACAUCUGUCAUGUUACAAAGUUGGUAGAUGUAUUAGUCAAGACGUAAAAGUCAGAAUGAAUGUUAGCACCUUUGUAGUUUGUUUGACAGCACACCUGACAUAGUACACACUGAUCAGAGUCACAAGUUAUGGAGAAAAAAAAAAGCUAAUGCUUAAAGCUUAAUAUCUUAAAAGUUCAGGAGUACAGGAAAUUAUUCAGAACCAACAGAAAAGCUGUUUAAUAGAUGUGUAUAACAUUCACUUAAUCACUCAAUGUGUUCAACAUUCCUUUUUCAGAAAAUGCUUUUUGCCUAGCAUUUUUUUUGGUACAAUUGAAAUACUUUUUUCGUUCUGAAAUUAUAGCCACUAGAGGCACAGCUUAAGA